rnacentral:rRNA from 1 species
GCACGGACUUCGGUCUGGUGGCGAGUGGCGAACGGGUGAGUAAUGUAUCGGAACGUGCCCAGUAGCGGGGGAUAACUACGCGAAAGCGUAGCUAAUACCGCAUACGCCCUACGGGGGAAAGCAGGGGAUCGCAAGACCUUGCACUAUUGGAGCGGCCGAUAUCGGAUUAGCUAGUUGGUGGGGUAACGGCUCACCAAGGCGACGAUCCGUAGCUGGUUUGAGAGGACGACCAGCCACACUGGGACUGAGACACGGCCCAGACUCCUACGGGAGGCAGCAGUGGGGAAUUUUGGACAAUGGGGGAAACCCUGAUCCAGCCAUCCCGCGUGUGCGAUGAAGGCCUUCGGGUUGUAAAGCACUUUUGGCAGGAAAGAAACGUCAUGGGCUAAUACCCCGUGAAACUGACGGUACCUGCAGAAUAAGCACCGGCUAACUACGUGCCAGCAGCCGCGGUAAUACGUAGGGUGCAAGCGUUAAUCGGAAUUACUGGGCGUAAAGCGUGCGCAGGCGGUUCGGAAAGAAAGAUGUGAAAUCCCAGAGCUUAACUUUGGAACUGCAUUUUUAACUACCGGGCUAGAGUGUGUCAGAGGGAGGUGGAAUUCCGCGUGUAGCAGUGAAAUGCGUAGAUAUGCGGAGGAACACCGAUGGCGAAGGCAGCCUCCUGGGAUAACACUGACGCUCAUGCACGA